UACGGGGGGGGCGAGCGUUGUUCGGAAUUACUGGGCGUAAAGGGUUUGUAGGUGGCCUGCUAAGUCAGACGUGAAAUCCCUCAGCUUAACUGGGGAACUGCGUCUGAUACUGGCGGGCUUGAGGACAGGAGAGGAACGCGGAAUUCCCGGUGUAGUGGUGGAAUGCGUAGAUAUCGGGAGGAACACCAGUGGCGAAGGCGGUUGCCUGGAGCUUUGCUGACGCUGAUGCGCGAAAGCGUGGGGAGCGAUCCGG
rnacentral:rRNA from 1 species